CAGUUAUUGAUCUCAGUAAUAUACUUGUCAUAUCACUCGUUGUUGUUGGUUACUGUUAAAUCUGUUUUCUCUAUAGUGCUACAAGUGCCUAGAAAAAAUACAGUACAAAUCCGUCUAUUUAUUCAUUGGCUGGCUUUACUAGAUCAUCUCAUACACACUCUGGAAAAUCAAUAGUAAGGAAAUCAAGAGCCAGUCUGACACAUAAAGGAAGGCUUUUCACCAUUCCAUAUCGUGCACCACAUGAACAUUCGUGGACACAUACUUUAAUUUAUCAUGAAAUCAAAAUAAAAUUGCCAAAUGUGGUUGUCUCUAAACUGAUGCCAAAUAGGUCAUGUUUUUUUCAGAUGUGAGUCCCAGUGAGAAGCAUAGAGAGGACCAAUGCUGCCCAAAGCCCAGCAGUACAUCAGUGAGACACAGAUACAAGACCCAUACACAACUGAUAAAAGAAAAGUUGGACCAGAUUAAAGCUAAGAUGAAGAAGAUCUCUGAGGUCCACCUGCAUCUGCGUCCUGAGAGGAAAGCAUAUCAUCCUUUUGUGUGGAACAGUCUGAGUCCAUACAGAGACACUACUCAGAUUGACCAUCUUCUUUCAAUGACAGCUGUUCCAGUCAGAAGAAAUCGCUGUUCUACAAUGGUGUCAGAAAGCACUCGGCUAUCAAAAUGACAUUUCCUUAAAUCACUGCAUUUAAAUAACUUAUGUGGAUUGUCUGUUUGCCAGUAGCAUUUCAUGAACAGUAAAGAAUUUGCAGGUGUCAGAAGGAUUUCACUUUAGAUGAUAAUGAUCGUUAAAUAGCCCUUGACCUACACAGACCCUCUCUUGUCUUUCCUGAAAACAUUGUAAUACAUAAAUAUUUGGCACAUUUUGUUUUUCUCUGGGUGAGUGUGUUGUUUAUUCAAUGUCUCAAAAGCCUUGGCCCCAAUCAGAUGUAUGACAUGGAAAGUACAUCAAACACCAGAUCCCCACAGAUUUCCACGCAGUGGCAAAUGAAAAGAGAAUACUUGCUACAUAAUUUAUUGUAAUGUAUGUCUCCAUCAUUUAAACAUUUGUGCACAGUUGUACCCCUUAAACACUCAUUUUUAUUUAUUUAUUUUUUUUAUAUCCAAUGAGUACCUUAAUAUAUUAUGAUAUACAGUACAGCUGUGCACAGACCUUAUUGAAUUUCUUCUAAAAGUUAGACACCACAAUGGGCAACAAGUCUAGACAUAUGGUAUGGUUCUGGUAAAAAAAAAAAAAAAAAAAAAAGUAUGAUGUGGCUUUUGACAUGAAAGGGUUGAAGAUUAUCAAAGAGAUGUGAGAAAUAAAUUGGAGGCAGCUUAUUUUAGAGAAGACUCAUCGGGGAAGAAAAGCGUAAAUUUUUAAUAGCUGCUGCUUUUGUUGUUAAAAGGCCCUUGUUUGUCUGGCUUUAGUCAUUGAUAAGCACAAAGGAGAAAGUGGGUUGCAGCCAUUUUCUUUAUUUCAGUUUCUCUUGCUUUUUCUCUGCUUGUGUAAGCCCUGAGAAGUUUCGUUCAAGAAUUAAGGGACUUCAAGUGUGGUGCCACAGCCUAUUUAAAUAAGCUUCCCGAUAUUUAAGAUGACCAAGAAGAAAUUCUUAAGCUCAUGAUAGAAAAUUCGUAUUGCUUUCUUUUCUGAUUCUACUUGCUUGAGCACAAACUGGGCUUUCUGAAAUGGGAUUGGUAGACUGGAGGUUUGGGAUUAAUUGGUAUAGGAGCACCAAUAACCAGGAGCCGCUCAAGUGUCACAAGUGUGUCUUUCAAUAAUUUUCCCUUCACUCUUGUUUUCCCUCCCAUCUCCUAAAUCUUCGCAAAGGGCCCUUUCAUAAACUGAUCUUAUAAAUGAGGACAUCAGUGGACUUUUCAGAUGCUGUCAGGGAUUCUUGUAAAAUGAAGGGAUUAUUAAAAAGGUAGACUUGUACUACCCAAAAAUGAGCUCAAUCCAUCCGCAGCUUAUCGCUGCUUCAACAGCCUUGGGUUAUGGUAUUUUACAGGAAGUUAAACCCUUAUAACUCAAACCUCUUAUACCCACUGCUGGGUUUAAUUUGCCUUAAAUUUCAAUUAGCUGGUCAUUUUAUACCAGCUCAGUUGGAAAUUCCUUUACAUACUGGGCCUAAUAUAUGCGUCUCUUAAUCCGAACCUCAUUAUGGCCCAGUGUAUUUAUCUCUUUGGUAUAGUAGAGGAAAUGAGUUGAAAAGAUAGGUGACCUGAAAUGUGAGAUAAGUGAACACUGAACAAUUUCACAGAGUUAAAUUUGGCAACUCACAUAUUUGAUUAAUUUGCUUUCCUUUUGAUAUAUGUAUUCACAUAAACCUAUGCCAGUUUGUGGGCUGUGAUAUCAAGUUAUAUUGGCUUGACAAAUGUCACAUGAGCCAAAAAAGUUGAAAAUUGCUGAAAAGAAAGGUCCAAAAAGGAAGGAGAGUAAUUUAGUAAAUUUGAUCCUGAGCAAGACAUGUCUCAUUGCACAAGAAAAGACAUUGGUUAAACUUAUUUUAUCCACACCAGUGUGACCCCUAAAAAAAAAAAAGGAAGUCUCACCGGCAGGAAAAACAAUUGCAAGAUGCAACCAUUUAUGCGCAGUCUGGAGCCCUAUAUUUAUACUACCUUUGCCAAAGAAGUUAUCAGAGUAAUCGACUUCCCGCUAGAAGAGGUAUCAUGUUGGGUCGCCUGCUUCACUGUUUUGUAUGUGUACUCACUCGUGAACAGCAUUUGAUGGGCUGCUACACGAUGACGUUACUGUGAAUACAUGCGUGUACAUGGUGGGGUCCCUUUCGCUUCAUCCAUGUGUCCCAUUUGACUGCACGCAGUAUAAGUGCACAACUGACUGGUGCUGGCAAGUGUUACGUUGUGUCAUAGAUAUUAAUGAACCAUGUAAAAUGUCAACAGAUAAUAGUGGUGCUCAUAAUUCAGCAGGGUCGCAGUGCCGCUCCUGAAUGCAUAUAUGGGAAAUACUGAUAAAAUCAUGACCAAUCACAUGAGAUGAGGACUCAUAUCAGUAACCUUAUAAAAAGCUGUUUUAUUCUACAUGGGGCUGGGGCGCCCUCAUGGGGGCUGCCAUUUAAGAAUCACAUGACCAGUUGCAUACAACUCACUUAAUCUCAGUUUCCAUCUUGUUAUUGGACACUUUCACUCUUGGAUUAAAUUAAUCAUAGCUGAUUGUGAAUAGUGAAUUUCCACAAUGGCAUCUGUAACUGAAAACUAUGAUUUUGAAUGAUGCUGCAUCCACACCACUAGGUGCCACUGUAAGUCCAAGAUGACAUGAUCAAAAGGUUACUG